GUUGCCCAUGUUGAUCUCAAACUCCUGAGCUCAAGCAAUCCUCCUGCCUUGGCCUCCCAAAGUGUUGGGAUUGGAGGCUUCAGCCACCACACCAGGCCAGUUUAGUAAGAUUCUGACCCUCGAUGAUCCUGUGGAUAAUUUUUCUCUUCAAAUGUCACAUGUCGGAUACCUGUUGAAUGGCUCACUCCAGAGAGGAAAAAGAAGACCAGAACUGAACCAAGCUUGCCCAGUCAUGCAUCCUAAAAUAUCAACUGGAAGGCACUCUCUGUCCCUUGGUGGGCAGUAGGAAAGGCUACCGAAAGGAAGCAUCUAGAGAGGGAAGAAGCAUUUCUCCUUCUAGGAGAACUGACCAACCUUGUAAAGUCUGCAUGCUGACCCUGAUCUCCUGCUCAGAUACAUUCAAGCCCUCCAUUUUUGUGUCCCCAGUCUUAUUCUCCCAAAGAGAAUAGUCUCCCAAGCUCCAUUUUUGUCUAGAUUAGCCAAAGGUCAAUACCAUUUGUCUUGUGCUUUUCCUUCUUUGUCUACAUUUAAAUUGGAGUCAUUGAAAGUUUACAGAGACUUCAAGUUCAAGUUCAAGUUCAACCACCAUAACAAUCACUGCAGUA
rnacentral:lncRNA from 10 species